UGAUAUGUUAAAUAGGCACCUCGGCUAGAC
rnacentral:piRNA from 2 species